rnacentral:rRNA from 1 species
GACGAACGCUGGCGGCGUGCUUAACACAUGCAAGUCGAACGGAAAGGCCCUGAUUUUGUUGGGUGCUCGAGUGGCGAACGGGUGAGUAACACGUGAGUAACAUGCCCUUGAAUGUGGGAUAACUUCAGGAAACUGGGGCUAUUACCGCAUAGGAGCUCCUGCAGCAUGGUGGGGGUUGGAAAGUUUCGGCGGUUGGGGCUAGAAUCGAGGGUUAUCAGCUUGUUGGUCGGGUAGUGGCGUACCAAGCCUGUGAAGGGUAGGCGGCGUUAGAGGGUGAACGGGGUCAUUGGUACUGAGGUACGGAGCAGUCUCGUACGGGAGGCAGUGGGGGGAAGUAUGGCAGAGCAAGGGGAAGUCUGAGGCAGAAACGCCGGGAGCGUAAAAACCGGUUAUGGGUGGUGAACCACUUUGGCCUGAGAUGUAGCCGGAGUGACGGUAACGAGUAAAGAAGCCCCGGCUAACUACGUG